rnacentral:lncRNA from 1 species
CAUAAGCCGCCUCUGAAUCCCCCUUCUCUAUCAAAUCCUCUAUACAACACUCCCAAACCCUAGCCGCCGCCACCCUAAUCCGCCUUAAUCCAUGGCCUUCCAAUGUCAUCAGAGACCUGUAUCAUCCCUUCCAUGGCUCCUUGUGUUGUCCUUAUGAUUUCAAGGCCAGAUUAUAAAGAACUCUGGCCCAGACUCCAUUCAAUUUUAGUUCAUGGCCUUUCUCUGGGCAUCUCUAACCUUUCUCCGGCCAGCCAUGGCCAUUCGAGUCAGACCUUUGACUCUUCUGGUUAGAUCGAUAACUGUCAAGGCCUUUCUCGUUACUUUUGGGUUCUUCAGAAACCCUAAUCUCUAAGGUUCUUUUGAUUUCUUUCAGAUUCGCUUUAGAUCUAUGCUUGCUUUGAACUUCUAAUAAUGUUUUCGAAGUUUCUUUAAAACUUUGCUUUCAAAACUCUUUAUCUUUUCUGAUUAGGGUUUUGCUGUUAAGUUAUUUCAAAUGUUUUCUCUGAUUUUUAUGUGUUUUUCUAUGUUUGCUUGUAUUAUUCUUCUAUCUGAGUUUUCAUGAUAAAACCCCUAAUUUCUUUUGGCUGUUUGUUAGACGAAUGCUUCUUUAGUUGAGGUUUUUUUUAUUUGCUUGUUUAUCAUCUUUUGAAACCCUAUAUCUUUGGGUCUGAGGUUUUUGUUUGAUUACCCGACUCGAUUCGAAGUUCUUCAUUUUAGAAUCUCCUUUCUCUUUAUGUGUUUUCUUUGAUUUUGGGUUCCUAUUAUCUCUAAAACUCGAUUAUGCUUGAAACCUUAAUUUUUCAAAAGGGGUUUUCCUCACCUGCUACUGUGAGAUCUUCGCAUGCUUUUAAUAUUUUAUGUUUUCUUCACUACUGAUUCAAUGUAACUUGACCUACUGGACUAUCAUACUUCGAAUGUUGCUAUCUACUGAAUUUUGUUCUACUAUUGCAUGCUAAUUCUUUUGCCAAUAGGUUUGGCCUCAUGUGUACAGUGUUCGUGCAUUCUAUUUAUUUGCUGAGGUUCCCUCUUUGAUUGAUCUUCAAUCUUGUGACUGAUUUCAAAUUGUUCUUUUGUAGAAUUCUGAUUUAACUCACCUGUUACGGUUAAAUGAUUCUUUUCCUUGUUUUGGCUCACUAAAUCAUAUUUUGAAAUAAAUGUAUUUCUGUACCUAGACUCGAUUUCUUACUCAAUGUUUUACUACUUCUUUUACGAAAACUGUCAAACUACUUAUAAAUUGAUUUCUUUUCUUAUUUUGAACCUGUCAGUGCCCGUUAAGCAAGUGAUCCCUUAAUUAAAGACAGUCACUUGUAUAAUUAAUUCUGAAUUGUGAUUGUUUCCAUGUUUGUAUCUUAUUACUUCUCUUUUACUCGUUUUCAAAAGCUAUAAAUACCUUGUACUUCUAUUUUUUCAAAACAUAUGAACACAAGGCUUAAAACACUUGAGUUCAGACACACACUCCAUUAAAUAUCUCUAGUUUCUUUGUUGCUACUUGUAUUGCUGACUUACCGGGCUGAGCUGAAAGCCAAGGCUAGGUGUGGGAAGCUUGCUUAUUUUUCUCUGUAUUUGUAUUUAACUGGUAUGUUCUAAUUAAGCUUCUGCACAAACAACAACGUGUUUCUUUUACUGUCUCUUUCAUCCUUGCUUGUCUCCUUUUUGUAUUUAACCAAGUUCCAUUAUUAAACAUGAUGUUAUCCGCCCUUUGCUGUUCUGAGUUAAUGCUUCGGUCCAUUACUUAUUAUGACUUGUGAAUCCUAAAUCCCUAUCCCUGAUGUGUUAGUAUCUGUGGUUGGAUUGGGGCAUGAUAGCAUUGGACAUUGCUGUGCAUGACCCAAACCUGAUCCUCCUUGGACCAUAACCUCCAUAUUUCCUCUAGAUGUUGUGUGUUCUGAUUGGUUUAUAGGCAUGUCAGCACAUUCUAUUACUGUGCAUGCCCAAAGUUGAUCCCUGCCAAAGUACAUGGGCUCGUUGUAAUGAAUUUCCAACCCCUGACCCCCUUUUGUAUGAAGUUAUUAGCUCUAUGUGUUACUAAUUACUGUCUCCCUAUCACUCUUUACCCCUCUCCUUUAUCCCCUCAGUUUUAAUACUCUGUUCCAGCACUUUUACUAUCCUCUUAGACUUAAGUUCUGUCCCUCUUGUGUGAGCCUUUCCUUAGGACUCAUGAGCUCCAUCUGAACUUGGACUCAUAAGGGUUGUGACUUCCACACUGCACUCAUCUCUAUUCUGGUUAUGUAACUUGGGUGUGAGCACUGCCUGGUAUCCUCUUGAGACCCUUAGGGAACUUUGACACACUCAAGUUUGGGAAAGUCUUUGAAUCAAUGGCAUUUGAUAUGGUUUAUUCCAUAACUGAGAGAGGAAGUCAAGAAUUAGGCUUCCUCUGGUUGUAACUUUUCUUUUGUACUUUUUUAUGUAAUUCAUUGUUUUUGGUUCGUAAUAAUUUUUAAUAAACACUCGGGGUUUGGCUAAUGGAAAAGGGAUGGGAAAUUAUAUAUGCUCAAGGGUAGAGAACAUGCCUAUAGGAUUUGUGUUAUGAAUGAUUCAAUUAUGCGUUUAGAAAUUAUGCCUAUAGGAUCUGCUGUUUAAAAUCCACAUGUUUUGGAGUUCUGCAUUUUAGAAAUCCUGCCUAUAGGAUCCGUUUGUUUAAAUUAGGCAUUUGCAAUUCUGCACGUUAGAUACCAUGCCUAUAAGACCCGCUUUCAUUAAAUUUUUAGAUGAAGCCUAUAGGACUUAUUCAAAAAUUCUGCACGUCAUUUCCACUUAGAUAUCAUGUUUUAGGAUCUAAAAGUCUAUAAUUAAGUGUCAUGUUCAUAAUGUUGAAAUUAGUAUGAUGUAUAGAAAUCAUGCCUAUAGGGCUUAAAUCAGCAAUAAUAGAUACCAUCGUCUGGAGAAUCUUAAGCUAGUCUAAUUUAAAAUCAGUCUAUUCUGAAUCGAUUAUGUAACCUAACUUCCUUAAUUAACGAGGUUUAGCAAGCAUGCCUAUUGGAUUUCAAAUUAUUCGUUUUAAGUUGUUACUAUUUCGCCACAUUCUGAAUUAAUUAGAUAUCAUGUCUAUUGGACCUCACCAAAAAACUUAGGCAAGCCUUACGAUAAUAACAAUAAAAUUGAAUCCGCUUUUGUUAAUUGCUACAACCAGCAGGUAGCCCUGAUUCAAAAUUCUUAUAUGAGUUAUGUAAUAAAAUGAUCUGCCUCAAUAAUUAAACUUCCCUCGUCUUUAGUAUUUUAAUCAGACCAAAAAAGUAUGUGCAAGUAAUGCUAUUUAUGUGUUUUGUGUGAUUAGGUAUACAUGAGCCUUUAUUUAUUUACAUGCUUCCCCUAACAUGUAGUAUUAUAUGUUUUGUAUGUCGCCUUAGAUUUUUACCUUUUCAAACUAAAAUCAGCCUAAUAUCCCUCCCCCCUUAGGAAUAGUAGUCCUAAACUCCUCCGGGACUGAUAGGAAUGGGGCAUGUAAUAGCAUGCAAUAGUGAUCAAGACCAAUCCGCGCUUUAAUACCUUAAUAGGGCGGGAAGGGUAGAUAUGGAUAUGAUGGCCGGUGCGCUAAUACCAUGUGUAUCCCUUCUUUUGGGGAGUGUAUUACCGGGUAUCGCAUGAUGUGAUCCAUAUUAAAUAUAAACCUAGGACCCUCCUUUAUUUUAUUUGCAAACUUAUUUUUUUAAAAAACUAUUCUUUUAAUUGUUAUUCUCUUAUGUGUUUAAGUUUAAAUCCCCUAAUAUUUGAGCCCAUACUUGUCUAUUUGCUAAACUUCACAAAUUCACAAUCAACUGUCUGGCUGAAAACCACACUAGUGGAUCUUGAGGGGUGCCUAACACCUUCACCUUAGGAUAAUUUCAAGCCCUUACCCAAUCUAUGAUUAUUCAAACAAAUUGAACCAUAUUGGUGUCCUAAUGCUCCUCAAAUCAUUGGGUGGCGACUCUUCAAAAUUGUAAAACCCCUUUCCAAAAAGGAAGAGGUUGUGCUAUGCCAAAUGUCAUAAACCCGAUCUCGCAAGAAAAAGGGGGAGCAACAACAUGACGACUCUGGUGAGGAUCUUUAUGAUUUUACCAUUUGAGAUUAUUAUUGUGAAUUUAUACCUCUUUAUGUGAAAUUACCUAUUUAAUUCCUUUAAGCAUUCAAUUCCCUUUUCAAUUAAAAAACUGACUUGUCUCCUUUGUUCCUUUCUUUUAUUACUGCAUUAAAUUAUGAAACUGUUGUAUCUACUUUCUUAACAUGCAAAUACGUGCCAACAUGCUUUUAAUUAUUGCAUAACUAUGCUCAACAUCAUACACCAGUCGUGACAAACAAAUACCAUAGCAAUGUUUAUAAUGAGUAGUUGCGCUCUUCCUGUAUUAUCACCUCUUAAAUUCGGAAAGGCAUAUUUGCGGUAAAGCCAGUCGAUCAGCGGUGCAGUCGACGAUUCCGUGCCUUUCCCCCUUGAGUUGCCCGCUCAAGGGUACCAGUCUAGAACCCCAUAGAAAUCUCAUUCUUUUCAAACUGUGCAUACAUCAUGGUCGAACCUAGCCAGGUCAGUUAUGUUAUACACAUAAUGACCCUUUAAAAUAACCUUAUCGAAAGUCCACUGGGUUUCCCUAAACCCAAACAGACGUCUCCACGUUCUGUGCAUUUAUUUGGAGAAUUAAAUGCUUCAUGCUAAUUGUUAGUAUUAAAUAGUCAAGUCUGGUGGGGGUAGGGUUUAACCCUUUUUUUUGCAGAAAAUGAAGCACGAGGUCCCCAGUUCGGUAUGACUAGCAGGAUCCCGCUCUUGCUAUACCAGUGGAGGAUUCUUCCAUCAAAUGACCAAAUCAAUGAGUGGAAAGAGAGGGCCGCCAAAGCUAGCGAAAGGUUGGAAUAUCUGGAAUACAGUCUGCUGGAAUUGGAAGGAAAAGUGAGGAAGAGAGUCGUUGACUACCAAAACGCUGAGGGAAAUUAAGGAGAACACUUGGCAAAGGCAUUUUUAUUGUAGAACCUACACAAACUGAAGGAUCUGAUCAAUGACAGCAUCUAACCCGAGGAAGGUCCAUAUGGGACCAAAUAGAUAAUAGUUUAUCUUUUCACUUUAUAAAUAUAAUAAGGCAAAGGGCCAUUAGUAAUUUUUCAUUUCCUGUUUACGUAGUGUCAAUUUUGGAUUCGUCUACAUUUUAUCAAUAAAAUGAGGCAUUUAGAACCCUAAGUUCUCCAAAUCAAUUUGUUUCUAGGCCUACCUCGGGCACAAAGAGGUCCCCAUAUCAGGACACGAUUUACAUUCUUGCACUAUGUGUUUAAAUAUUGUAACCCUUAUUGUAAUCCUCACUAACUUAUUGCCUUUUUUUACUUUUUUUUAUUAUUCCCC